GGAUUNGACGGUGUCCCACCCACCUAGAGGAGCCUGUUCUAUAAUCGAUAAUCCUCGAUACACCCCACCAUUUCUCGCUUUCCAGCCUGUAUACCUCCGUCGUAAGCUUACCAUUUGAAUGCUAAAAAGUAAGUUYAAGGAUUUUUCAUCAACACGUCAGGUCAAGGUGCAGCCAAUGAAGUGGUAAGCAAUGGGCUACAAUUUCUAUAAUAGAACAAACGAAAUACUACAUGAAAAAUAGUCAUGAAGGCGGAUUUAGUAGUAAAGAGGGAACAGAGUGCCCUCUUUAACAAGGCUCUGGGACGUGUACACACCGACCG
rnacentral:rRNA from 1 species